rnacentral:lncRNA from 1 species
CCAAGUGCUAAGUCUUACCCAGGUCUGCAGGUUUGACUUUUGUCCUCCUCCCUUUCUUUCUUUAAUAUGGCCAUAGUCCUCACAAAAGCUCAGAAUGCUAACUUGGAGCAUUGACUAUGAAUUUGACUCUGACUCUGUACAAUUUGUUCCAGGGCUAUGACUAAUCUCCCAGGACCUCAGGGAGUGAAGUGUGGCCUGAAGCAGGGGUCUGUUGGCCGAUGCCCUAGGCACAUUGUUGAUGACUUAGCAGUGGAAAGGAAAAUCCCUAUCUAUUUAUUCCUAUUUUCCUACAGGCUUACAUUUGAAAACAGAUGGAGAUAUGAACUCAUGGAAAAAACAUCAGGGACCUUGAUCACAGCCAAAUCAUGCUUGGGAAAGUGGUCUACUUUGAAAAUUACACCAAGCAAAAGGGUGAAGAAUCUGAAUUCGGAGAGGAGCAGUUACUUGUCUGAUAAUCACAGAACAAGUUAGUAACCCAAGCCUGGACUUAUAGCCAGGUCUCCUGACUCCCAGUACAACUCCCUUCCCAUGACAUGACAGUUAUUUAUAUCUGUUGCCUCUGUCUCAGAUGGAGCUCCCCUCUCUCUUUUAGUGGCUAUGUUUCCUACUGGAUUCUUCUCUCCUUAUUCAGAAGUCACUUUCUUGGUCCA